rnacentral:rRNA from 1 species
GAUGAACGCUGGCGGCGUGCCUAAUACAUGCAAGUCGAGCGAACAGAUAAGGAGCUUGCUCCUUUGACGUUAGCGGCGGACGGGUGAGUAACACGUGGGUAACCUAUCUAUAAGACUGGAAUAACUCCGGGAAACCGGGGCUAAUGCCGGAUAACAUGUUGAACCGCAUGGUUCUACAGUGAAAGGCGGCUUUGCUGUCACUUAUAGAUGGGCCCGCGCCGUAUUAGCUAGUUGGUGAGGUAACGGCUCACCAAGGCAACGAUACGUAGCCGACCUGAGAGGGUGAUCGGCCACACUGGAACUGAGACACGGUCCAGACUCCUACGGGAGGCAGCAGUAGGGAAUCUUCCGCAAUGGGCGAAAGCCUGACGGAGCAACGCCGCGUGAGUGAUGAAGGUCUUCGGAUCGUAAAACUCUGUUAUUAGGGAAGAACAAAUGCGUAAGUAACUGUGCGCGUCUUGACGGUACCGAAGCAGAAAGCCACGGCUAACUACGU